AACAGUUUAAUCGAAGAUUAAAGGAGGAAAAGAAUGAAGAGCAAGAGCAAAAGGUGAAGGUCUAUUAAUCAGUCAAGGUAAACUCUCGUCAUCGUCUCCGUCCUCUUCAAAGGUUUCUACAAUGUUUAACCACGACUCAUGAGCAGGUAUCCAGACAUCCACGUGACCAAUUGCAAAGUUUCUCUCAUAAAAACUUCUAGAAAGAUCUCCACACCAUGCCACUGAAAACUCUUGCCAUCGUAUGUCAAAUUGUGCUACUGUCUGCAACCACGAGGGAGUCCCCAGAACUAAUAAUUGCCAACAGCACAGGUCCUUUUAUCUUUGAAGCAAACACUACAUCUGAAGUCUUCUUUUCAUUUGAGGAUGCUGGGAAUGAAAGUCUGACCUACACUAUCUUCAUCAAUCAUAAAAUUCUCGGCUCAAACGUUUCUCGCUUAAAAUGUUUUGUGAACAAAGCAGACGACAGCUGCAGUUCAAGCAACACGGACUGUGAAUGUUUGAACGAAACACUUGGCUACCAGUACAGACUGAAGAAAGUUUUUCAAGAAGAGGAUAGCGGAGAAUGGACUUUUUCUGUCUCAGGAAAAGGAAUAUCUAUUAUUAAACUAUAAAUGUUAUCGUCAUGUCACGUGAGUAUAAUAUUAUAUUGACAGAGUACGAGUGAAGAGCAAUGGAAGGAA